rnacentral:rRNA from 1 species
GGGCCCGCACAAGCAGUGGAGCAUGUGGUUUAAUUCGAUGCAACGCGAAGAACCUUACCAGGCCUUGACAUCCUCGGAACUUUCUAGAGAUAGAUUGGUGCCUUCGGGAACCGAGUGACAGGUGCUGCAUGGCUGUCGUCAGCUCGUGUCGUGAGAUGUUGGGUUAAGUCCCGUAACGAGCGCAACCCUUAUCCUUAAUUGCCAGCGGUUAGGCCGGGGACUCUAACGGAACUGCCGGUGCAAACCGUGAGGAAGGUGGGGACGACGUCAAAUCAUCACGGCCCUUACGUCCUGGGCCACACACGUGCUACAAUGGUAGGUACAGAGGGAAGCCACCCCGCGAGGGGAGCGGA